AAAUAAAUAAUCUGGUGUAAAGCAGAGAGAGUAAGCCCUGAGCCAGUACUGGGGAACUUUCUGGAGAAGCUGUGCUUGGGUCAGACCUUCUAGGAGCAGGACUUAUGGUCUGAAACAUCUGGACUUUUAAAGAAGGGACCAAGCGUCAAGAAUAUCUGAUGAAUAUUUGGCAGACAGCCAGAAAUUGACAAGCAUGCAGGUCUGCUGGGAAGGCAUCAUGCCAACCUUCCACCAUCAAUGAGCAAGUUCAGCAGAUUAAGAAGUAGGAGAAACUGACUAUUGAGCUCAAGAAGAAAACCUAAAAGCAGAAGCUGUGUUUGAAUAACAGACGAGAUAUGGCAAGCAGUGUGUGAGCUCUCAUCCUGGAUUUUAAUAGAGAGAGAUGCAUUUUCUGUCCUCAGAGGAACACAGAAAGUUGGUCAGCUACAGAAGC